AUUGAACGCUGGCGGCAUGCCUUACACAUGCAAGUCGAACGGCAGCACGGGUGCUUGCACCUGGUGGCGAGUGGCGAACGGGUGAGUAAUACAUCGGAACAUGUCCUGUAGUGGGGGAUAGCCCGGCGAAAGCCGGAUUAAUACCGCAUACGAUCUACGGAUGAAAGCGGGGGACCUUCGGGCCUCGCGCUAUAGGGUUGGCCGAUGGCUGAUCAGCUAGUUGGUGGGGUAAAGGCCUACCAAGGCGACGAUCAGUAGCUGGUCUGAGAGGACGACCAGCCACACUGGGACUGAGACACGGCCCAGACUCCUACGGGAGGCAGCAGUGGGGAAUUUUGGACAAUGGGCGAAAGCCUGAUCCAGCAAUGCCGCGUGUGUGAAGAAGGCCUUCGGGUUGUAAAGCACUUUUGUCCGGAAAGAAAUCCUUGGCCCUAAUACGGUCGGGGGAUGACGGUACCGGAAGAAUAAGCACCGGCUAACUACGUG
rnacentral:rRNA from 1 species